GGGGGCGUACCUGGCUCCGCAUUUAUGGCGACAGGGGCGUCGUUUUGCUUCCCUCACGCCUUUCCUAUAAAAAUGGGAGCCCCGCCUCGCUGGUUCCGCCCGCCUUCUGCUUUCAAGCCCUUUCGCCCUCCGGACUCGCCCUUAGCUCAUCUGCGCCCGUUUCGUCUUCCUCCGCCCCUAGCUACGCCCUUUCUCCACACCCCCGUCAAGCUUCCUCCUUC
rnacentral:lncRNA from 1 species